GUGGAUUCAGAACCACAGCAGGUAUCUGGCUUUGUUAUAAACUUUCUUUUUUCUCUCUUUCUUGUUACAGAAGCAGAAUCCUCGAGGCCCCCUUCCACUCCGGUCUCUCAAGAUAAGAUGGCAACAGCAAGGGUCAAACUAAACGUACCCAAAGGAGUGAAUCUUGAAGACCCUAAAGUGAGCGAAGCCAUUUUAGAGCAGAUUCGGGAGCAUCUCUCCAAGAACUUUCCAAUGGACGGUGUUAAUCUGCGCUGGAGAAAACAAGACGGGAAGAUAUUCCACAAGGAGGAGGAGGAGGAGGAGGAGAUGGAGAAGUACUUCAAGCCGUGAGAUACCAGCACCCACAAUGACAAGCGUGGGC